CAAACUUUCAACCACGGAUCUCUUGGUUCUGGCAUCGAUGAAGAACGCAGCGAAAUGCGAUAAGUAAUGUGAAUUGCAGAAUUCAGUGAAUCAUCGAAUCUUUGAACGCACAUUGCGCCCCUCGGUAUUCCGGGGGGCAUGCCUGUUCGAGCGUCAUUA
rnacentral:rRNA from 1 species